GACGUAGGAGGCGAGCGUUGUCCGGAGUUACUGGGCGUAAAGCGCGCGCAGGCGGCCCUGUGCGCUGCCGGUGAAAGCUCCCGGCUUACCUGGGAGAGGUUCGGCAGGACGGCAGGGCUGGAGGGUGGGAGAGGUCGGUGGAAUUCCCGGUGUAGUGGUGAAAUGCGUAGAGAUCGGGAGGAACACCCGUAGCGAAGGCGGCCGACUGGACCACACCUGACGCUGAGGCGCGAAGGCCAGGGGAGCGGAACGGGAGUAAGAACCCCGUGAUACCGUCAAGUCACCAAAC
rnacentral:rRNA from 1 species